rnacentral:rRNA from 1 species
AUGGUGCCGAGGCUGGAGCGCGGCGGCGGCGGGUUCCAGCUCCCGAACGCCGAGCAGGAGAACUCCCUCUUCCUCCGCGCACUCAUCUCCGUCGUGUCUGCAGACACAGACACCGUCGUCCCUACGCUGCACCUUGAGCCUUCAACGCCGCCCUUUGCUGCUACUCCGGCCGUGGGGAUGCGUGCUGCAGCUGCUGGGUGCGCCCGGUGCGGCGUCGGCGUGGACGGCUGCCUCGGCUGCGAUUUCGCCGCCGAGGCGAUGGCUGGCUCCAGCAGCGAGGGGGAAGGGUACUCCGCCGCGAGCUUCGUAAAGGAUGGCGGCGUGGGGAAGAUCACGCGAAGGAGGAGAGGGAGAAAGUUCAGGGGCGUGCGUCGGCGGCCGUGGGGCACAUGGGCGGCGGAGCUCCGCGACUCACACCGCGCCGUGCACAAAUGGCUCGGCACCUUUGACACCGCCGUCGAGGCUGCGCGCGCCUACGACGCCGCGGCUCUCGAGUUCCACGGCCACCACGCCAGGCUCAACUUCCCGACCACGGACGCGCCAUCGUGGGCAUCGACAUCGACAUCUGGCUCAUCCACUACGCUGCCGCAUCAGCAGCACUUGCCUGAGAGUAUUCACGAGAACUGCAGGUCAAAAGCGUCAUCGUCAGCGUACAUGCCGUAG